GACGAAGGGGGCUAGCGUUGUUCGGAAUUACUGGGCGUAAAGCGAGUGUAGGUGGUUGUCCAAGUUGGAUGUGAAAGCCUUGAGCUCAACUCAAGAAAUGCAUUCAGGACUGGGCGGCUAGAGGACCGGAGAGGAUAGUGGAAUUCCCAGUGUAGUGGUGAAAUGCGUAGAGAUCGGGAGGAACACCCGUGGCGAAGGCGGCCAUCUGGACCAGCACUGACGCUGAGGCACGAAAGCGUGGGGAGCAAACAGG
rnacentral:rRNA from 1 species